UGAAAUAUGCCUUGGAAUUAAGGUCCCUCUACAGCUCAACUGUAGAGAAAAUAGGAUGAAUUUCAAGAAAGACUUAUAAGUCAACUUGAAGCGAAGCUUGUUAACCAAUAAUAAGAACGUUCAACGACUAGAAGUUAGUAUUAAACUACUUCCUCGAGUAUCCUACGUUUUAAUUUUAAGCUUAAGAUAAAUAUUCAUGAGGUGAUUCUUACUAACUAUCCCUCCUUAAGUUACUCUUUUAUAUUACAUGUAUAUAAAAGUAAAAUAGAACGAUGACAUAGUCUGAACCCUAUUGUGAAAUAGGG
rnacentral:ncRNA from 1 species